GCUGACAGACCUUUGGAAAAUAAAAGAAUGGGGAGCUGUUGAGCAAAUCCAUUUAGGAAAAAGUGAUGGGAGAAUGGGUCAAAGAGGUGAGGUUGAGAGCAGAGUGCCCAAGAAGUACUGAGCACAAGUGGCCCACUGGUUAGCAUAGUAUUUGUGGCCCAAGCUCUUUUCUACCGGCAGGAGCUGGUCCUGGCUCUUACUGCAAAGCACAUCGAAGGCAAAGGAAGAGGGGGAAAAAAAACAAAAAACAAAAAACCUUGGGUCCUUGGGUGAUUCUCCCUCUGCUCUGGGUUUUGGAGGACUGGAGAGAUUGGUGGGAAAGCCGAGAGGAGGAAUCACCUCCUCUGAGGAAUGAGAUUAGGGCUGGCACUGAGAAUCUCCCAAACACAGAGCACAGUAUCUGAGGCACCAGUCUUGGGUGUUGGACGGUGGAGGAAAGAAGCCAGAGAGAAGGCACGGAUACCCAGCAAAGAAAGCCACUCGGCCUGACUGAGGCCAAAAGGGGCCAGGCUGCAUUUAGGUGGACAGAAGACAGGCACAAGUACCAUGUAGCUGGGGAUCCAGACAGGGUAGAGACAGAGGAUGUAGGUCUGGACUCAAUGGAAGCAGAGGAGGCUGUAGGCAUAGCUGGAUGAAGACAGGAUAAGUAGAUUCGCAAUUGCUAAUGCUUUGGGGGCACUUGGCUAGGGUCAGCCACUCUUCAAAACACUUAAAUGUUAAGGAGACAAAGAGCUGGACCAUGUACUAGGAGUUCUGUAGUCAUUCUUAAUGACUACACUGUGUGAAAUACAGACAUGAAUAAAGGUUUUAUAUCUAUAAAGGACUUAGACCUCGGCUUACCCUUUAUGUUAAAUGUUUGGUUUAUAUCAAAACCAAACAAACAGCAAUGACAACAAAACCAAAUGUUUUGGAACCACCCCAAACCCAUGUGAUCUUAGCAGCUAUUCAGACUGUUUACAUUUCUGUUUUCUUGUUCAUUUGCAAACGUAAGCAGAGUACCUACCCAUCACGAUUGCUGAGGGUUAAAGAAAAAAAGCUCCGUUGAGUGCUCGUCCAGGCCUCCUGCAGAGCCACUGCUUUUGGAGGCUGUCAAGAAAAUGUCCAUUCCAGUUCCAGAUUGCUUCCCUCUCUCCAGGGACUACAGAUGACAACGUGACACCUACAGUUGCCUGGACAUCAUGCCAUGUUCUUAGGAGCAAUCAACCACCUGGAGGAGCCUACAAAUUCUGUUUAAUUUCCCUUUUCAUCAGCAGCCUGAUGUGUGGGUACUGGACAGAGUAUGCUUAGUAAACCUCUGCUCCCGGGGCAAUAAUGAAGGUACUUCUAGAGAUGGCCACUAAGGCUGCAAAAGGAUCUCUGAGAAGGUCCAACGCAGGUAGCUAGCCCAUGGCCAUGAAUCAUAAAGUUGAAACCUUCAGAGAUUAAGACAUCUCAAAAGUACAUCAAGUAGGAAAGCAGGAACUAUGGGCAAAUUAGAGCACGCCCACCCCAUAAAGAUGGCGCUUACUACUUCCCAUCAGCCAUCACUGCAGAUAGAAUGCGAGCCCACAGUAGCAAAUAUUCUGAUUUUUAAAAAGAAAUUGGGACUUACUUUAAAUCUCAAAACAAAAACAAAAAAAGUCAGCAUUGGCUUCUAAUUUUAGUCUUUUCUGAAAGUCCUGUGAAAACCAGCAAACUUGCUAGCUGGGUUGUUCCUGGAGACUAAUUUACCUCUGUGUGGAUUUGAGGAAGGGUGUAGAGGUUAAGGGCUGUAUCCAGGGGCAAAAGCUGAGGGAUGUGAAUGGUCACAUCUGUGGGGCCAGAUAAAGCACGAGAAGGCCCAGAAGGCAGAAGCAAGCUGUGGAGACUUCCCGGAACUCUGAGCUUUAGAAGAUCUUUCCAGAAAGUCAGGAUGGACUCUGAGAUAGCCAUUCCAGAGGCAGGAAUUCUAGAAUGGAC
rnacentral:lncRNA from 1 species